rnacentral:rRNA from 1 species
GACGAACGCUGGCGGCGUGCCUAAUACAUGCAAGUCGAACGCAGUGGGGACGGGUGAGUAACACGUGGGUAACCUCCCAUCAGAGGGGAUAACACUUGGAAACAGGUGCUAAACCGAUACUGAUGGAUGGACCCGCGGUGCAUUAGCUAGUUGGUGAGGUAACGGCUCACCAAGGCCACGAUGCAUAGCCAACCUCAAGGGGUUGUCAGCCACACUGGAACUGUGACGAGGCCCAGACUCCUACGUGAGGCAGAAGUAGGGGAUCUUCGGCAAUGGACGAAAGUCUGACCGAGCAACGCCGCGUGAGUAAAGAAGGUUUUCGGAUCGUAAGACUCUGUUGUUAGAGAAGCGGUAUCUAACCAGAAAGCCACGGCUAACUACGUGCCAGCAGCCGCGGUAAUUC